GCCAGGCACGGUGGCGCACGCCUGUAGUCCCAGCUACUUGGGAGGCUGAGGCAGGAGAAUCGCUUCAGCCCAGGAGUUCUGGGCUGUACUGCACUAUGCUGAUCGGGUGUCCGCACUAAGAUCAGCAUCAAUAUGGUGACCUCUCGGGGCGGGGUACCACCAGGUUGCCUAAGGAGGGGUGAACCGGCCCAGAUCGGAAACAGAGCAGGUCAAGAUUUUAUUUAUUUAUUUGAUAGAGAGCACAAGUAGGCAGAGAGGCAGGCAGAGGGCGGGGGGGGGGAAGCAGGCUCCCU
rnacentral:SRP_RNA from 1 species